GCUAAACGCGAAGAACCUUACCCAGGCUUGACAUCCUGUUAAUUUCUCCGAAAGGAGAGAGUGCCUUCGGGCCGCAGUGACAGGUGAUGCAUGGCCGUCGUCAGCUCGUGUCGUGAGAUGUUUGGUUAAGUCCAUCAACGAGCGCAACCCUUAUGAGUAGUUGUAUUUCUCUACUCAGACUGCCCUGGUAACAGGGAGGAAGGAGGGGAUGAUGUCAGGUCAGUAUCUCCCUUACGUCUGGGGCUACAAACACGCUACAAUGGCCGGUACAAAGGGCAGCCAACCCGCGAGGGGGAGCAAAUCCCAUCAAAGCCGGUCUCAGUUCGGAUUGUAGGCUGAAACUCGCCUGCAUGAAGCUGGAAUCGCUAGUAAUGGUAGGUCAGCACACUACCGUGAAUACGUUCCCGGGUCUUGUACACACCG
rnacentral:rRNA from 1 species